AGUGAACGCUGGCGGUAGGCCUAACACAUGCAAGUCGAACGGCAGCACAGUAAGAGCUUGCUCUUACGGGUGGCGAGUGGCGGACGGGUGAGGAAUACAUCGGAAUCUACUUUUUCGUGGGGGAUAACGUAGGGAAACUUACGCUAAUACCGCAUACGACCUACGGGUGAAAGCAGGGGAUCUUCGGACCUUGCGCGAUUGAAUGAGCCGAUGUCGGAUUAGCUAGUUGGCGGGGUAAAGGCCCACCAAGGCGACGAUCCGUAGCUGGUCUGAGAGGAUGAUCAGCCACACUGGAACUUAGACACGGUCCAGACUCCUACGGGAGGCAGCAGUGGGGAAUAUUGGACAAUGGGCGCAAGCCUGAUCCAGCCAUACCGCGUGGGUGAAGAAGGCCUUCGGGUUGUAAAGCCCUUUCGUUGGGAAAGAAAAGCAGCAGGUUAAUACCCCGCUGUUCUGACGGUACCCAAAGAAUAAGCACCGGCUAACUUCGUG
rnacentral:rRNA from 1 species